rnacentral:rRNA from 1 species
GAUGAACGCUGGCGGCGUGCCUAAUACAUGCAAGUCGAGCGAACGGACGAGAAGCUUGCUUUUCUGAUGUUAGCGGCGGACGGGUGAGUAACACGUGGAUAACCUACCUAUAAGACUGGGAUAACUUCGGGAAACCGGAGCUAAUACCGGAUAAUAUUUUGAACCGCAUGGUUCAAAAGUGAAAGACGGUCUUGCUGUCACUUAUAGAUGGAUCCGCGCUGCAUUAGCUAGUUGGUAAGGUAACGGCUUACCAAGGCAACGAUGCAUAGCCGACCUGAGAGGGUGAUCGGCCACACUGGAACUGAGACACGGUCCAGACUCCUACGGGAGGCAGCAGUAGGGAAUCUUCCGCAAUGGGCGAAAGCCUGACGGAGCAACGCCGCGUGAGUGAUGAAGGUCUUCGGAUCGUAAAACUCUGUUAUUAGGGAAGAACAUAUGUGUAAGUAACUGUGCACAUCUUGACGGUACCUGAUCAGAAAGCCACGGCUAACUACGUGCCAGCAGCCGCGGUAAUACGUAGGUGGCAAGCGUUAUCCGGAAUUAUUGGGCGUAAAGCGCGCGUAGGCGGUUUUUUAAGUCUGAUGUGAAAGCCCACGGCUCAACCGUGGAGGGUCAUUGGAAACUGGAAAACUUGAGUGCAGAAGAGGAAAGUGGGAUUCCAUGUGUAGCGGUGAAAUGCGCAGAGAUGUGGAGGAACACCAGUGGCGAAGGCGACUUUCUGGUCUGUAACUGACGCUGAUGUGCGAAGGCGUGGGGAUCAAACAGGAUUAGAUACCCUGGUAGUCCACGCCGUAAACGAUGAGUGCUAAGUGUUAGGGGGUUUCCGCCCCUUAGUGCUGCAGCUAACGCAUUAAGCACUCCGCCUGGGGAGUACGACCGCAAGGUUGAAACUCAAAGGAAUUGACGGGGGCCCGCACAAGCGGUGGAGCAUGUGGUUUAAUUCGAAGCAACGCGAAGAACCUUACCAAAUCUUGACAUCCUUUGACAACUCUAGAGAUAGAGCCUUCCCCUUCGGGGGACAAAGUGACAGGUGGUGCAUGGUUGUCGUCAGCUCGUGUCGUGAGAUGUUGGGUUAAGUCCCGCAACGAGCGCAACCCUUAAGCUUAGUUGCCAUCAUUAAGUUGGGCACUCUAAGUUGACUGCCGGUGACAAACCGGAGGAAGGUGGGGAUGACGUCAAAUCAUCAUGCCCCUUAUGAUUUGGGCUACACACGUGCUACAAUGGACAAUACAAAGGGCAGCGAAACCGCGAGGUCAAGCAAAUCCCAUAAAGUUGUUCUCAGUUCGGAUUGUAGUCUGCAACUCGACUACAUGAAGCUGGAAUCGCUAGUAACUGUAGAUCAGCAUGCUACGGUGAAUACGUUCCCGGGUCU